rnacentral:rRNA from 1 species
CCAAGCCUCCGGGAGGCAGCAGUGAGGAAUAUUGGUCAAUGGGCGGAAGCCUGCCCCCGCCAAGUCGCGUGAGGGAAGAAGGCCCUGCGGGUCGCAGACCUCUUUGGACGGGGAGCAAGGCCGCCGACGUGUCGGCGGAAGGAGAGUACCCGUAGAACAAGCAUCGGCUAACUCCGUGCCAGCAGCCGCGGUAAUACGGAGGAUGCGAGCGUUAUCCGGAUUUAUUGGGUUUAAAGGGUGCGCAGGCGGCACGGCAAGGCGGCGGUAAAAU